UUUUUUUCCCUCUUCAAUUGCUUUAUUAUUUUAGUUAUAAGACAGCUGUUGAUGUCCCACUCACCAGUUAGGAGGAUUGAGAAGAAGCUGCUUUCCAGGAAAUCCCAGUCGACUUCCAGAUAGAUCUCUUUGGUCAAAAAUGUGUCACAGCUCCAACUCUUUUUUUGUAAGAUGGUGAACACAGGCAGGGGCCACAUCUGACUUACCUCUAGCUCCAGGUACUAAAGAGCCACUGGGGAGAGCUCAGUCAUGUAAUCCAAUACUAUCUAAACAUGAACUACGGAGUCCCCAUCCAAGGCACUGAAUGAGAACAUCUGGAACACUCAAUAAAUAUUUCAUCAACAAAUAAAUGAGGG
rnacentral:lncRNA from 10 species